UAUAAAACCAUUAAGCAAGCUGCCUCUACUGCAGGAAUCACUAUACUAAGAGGAUUCUAAGAAGCUUUUCAUAAGUCCAUGUCUCAUUUAGAUUUCAUAACAGACAGAAAUGGAACUAGUAAUAAGCACAACACGAACACCCCUUUAUUUUUAAUUUCCUUCCCUGUUGUUGAGCUGUUUCAUAAUUCUUGGAGAUAAUUCAAAUUUUGUGAGACACCUUCAGUAAGAGUGAGCAGCUUGUGCACAGAAAACAGACACUUUACAGGUAUAAAUCUGCUAUUUCUGUUUUAAUUUGUUACCUGUAAAAAUGAACACAGCAGCUGCUUAUAACUGAGAUAUAGAAUGUUGUGAUGCAAGAUUUUGGAUUUCUAUAUUACGUAAGUUCUAGAGACUGCCCCUAUUUAAUAAAAAAUCUGAAUCCCUCCUGCUAGAUACUGUUUAGUCCUUUAAUUAUUCAUUAAUUUUAAGUUACUUAAAAUAAAGUUACAUCAAAUAUUUUCAAAAUGUAUGGUUCUGACUGAUCAAUUAUUUUUUGAACGUCCUUCAUUUAUUAAAAAAUAAUGAUCCCUGAUAUGAAACUCCUACAGUAACAGGAACUACGUGACAGACAGCCACAGCCACAGAAAUCUUAUGUCUUUCUUCUUCUAUUUCUAGCAGUGUCACAGCAAGAAAUUUAAUCUGUCCACGUCUCAGUUUACCCCUCUGUAAAACAGGCUUGGUACUGUUUCCUAUUACUCCCAAAGCUAUGGGAAGCUUACUGUAUCAAUUCAGAAUUCAUUACCUUCUUGCUGGAAGAGGUGCCCCAUGGGCCAGUCCCUUGGCUUGAUGAAAUCAAUGGGAACUUUGCCCCUGACUUCAGCAACAGCAGGAUCGACCUUUAAGCCCAGUGCAACAAGAAGAGCAGCAAAUUCAAAGCAAUGCUCACCAUUGUAACUGUGCUAACAAGUGCAAUAUAUUUAAAAUGUAUCUCAGAAGAUGGCCCUUUUUUCCCCCUCUCCAAUGAAUGCCAUAGGCUCUUGUUCAGUAACUCUGCUGUCCCUCUGGAGGAGAGAGAUUUAUCUGCAUGGAAAGAAUCCUGCUAAGAUCAAACACAAUGCCACAAAGGGGUCAAACUGAUCAAGUGCUCCUAAAAAAGCAGAAGAAUAAAACAAAAGAAUGCAUGAACUGGAUUUCAUUAUCCCACUCAUGGCAGCAGUUAAACCAUAGGUCAAGGCACAGUUCUGAAGCCUGUCCUGGUUUCUCGAUGCCUCUUUAGCUCAUGAGAAGCUCCAGCAGCCACUGAGGUCCCAUGCAGAGAGUGGUUUGUUAACAGCACAGUUGCCAGCUCAGAGCCCGGACUACAGCCAUUACCCCCUUCAGGAACUACAAAGAUAAACUCACCUACAUGUAAGAGCUAUAGUGUAUCAGAUAUUGCACAGAUUCAAUAAAUGACAAUUCAAUAAGCAUAUAACCAUUAUGGACCAGCAUCCCUCAGUGCCUAUACGCAGACCAAAGUCUGAACUGAUCUCUGCAAGUCAACCCAGAACAAGAGCUCUUCAGUCACACUCCUUAAACAAUUCCUGCACUGUAAAAACCAACGUAUUCAUUCCUCCCACUUUGUGCAGUCUGAUUUACAGAUUAUCAUAUGGUCAUAUCAGCAUUUCCCCAACUGCUGGUAUUUGACAUUUAUCCUAUAGCUUAUUCUGCGCCUAUAUAGCUGGCUAGCUGAUCUCAUAUGACUGCCAGUCAACGCUCAGAAACAAGAAGUCAUCCAGGUUGACUUGCACAACUACACAGCAGUGCCACCAAUAGUGUCUUAAGAGCUAUAUGCAAUGCAAGCAUAGCACAAAGAGAGAAAUCACAAAAACAUAACAUUUGCAUUACAGUUUCACAGUCAUUUCCAUAAGCACUUGAACUAUCAUGCAUAUACCACGGUGAGACUGAAACAAACUGAAGUUUCAACAUUUGAAACUGUUAAAAUGAGUCAAAAUGGGGAAAAAAUCUUGAUUGAUUGAACCAUCCGGAGUCUUUGCACAGAUCUUCAUGCUGGCAGAUGCAGGGAUGUAAUUGCCACAGGAACUUAAGAUGGAGAAGUGAACUUUUGGCUUUUAAGAAAACACUCUUCAACAAAGCGCUAUUUUGAGCUUUCUUCAGAUGUAUUAUUCUUAUACUUUGAAAACUGCUUCGAGGAAGAUACCUAAGUAUAAUCACUUUCUUCCUAGAAGGAAACAUUUAUCUCAUCUAAACACUUUUAGUAGUUGCUACUUAGAAGUCUUUUACUGCACGUUUAUAGCAAUAUAUUGACACAGCUGGGAUCUGGUUUCCAGAAUUCCCCAAGAAAAAUAGCUGACUGAAGUCCCCAGUAACCACAGCUCCAACAGGUCAGAAAGAUCUCUAAUUCAAUUCAUGCUUUGCUGCUGAAAUCACCUACAGAAAGCCUUUAAAAUGCCUCCUUUUAUACUCUGCUGAUUCUUCUUCUCAAACAGAAACCUGUCUCUAAGCAGGUAGUCUUCCCAGUUUCUUUCAGUAACUACUAGAGAGUGCAUUUUCAGCUCCACAUGUUAUGAGUUAGACAUGCAACUCACAUUGUUACCUUCAUACCAGUGGGUGUUGUGAGCCUAAUUUAUAAGGUACCAUACUUUAAAAGUUCUAUCUCCGUAGCUCUUGUGCUCUGCAUCUUAUUCUAAAGAGCAAUGGAUAUAUAUAUUAUAUAUAUAUAUAUCUAUCUCUGCCAUCUAAAAGAUUAAUAGCAAUAGUACUUAUUACAUAUGGAUCAUUAAAAAAUAAAGACAAUUAUUCAAGACACAACAAGGAAACAAAUACUUUCUUGAAAAAGUCUUCUUUCUGAUUAUAAAGUUUCCCUACUGUCUGAGAGGCCCCCAACAUCACAUGCAGAAUGGAGAGGAAAAAGGCUUCUCUUUAAACACCCCCUGAGCUAACACGGUCUACCAGGAUUUCAGUGAAGACAGCAGGAAUCUGAAAAAUGGUCCUGUUUUAUACAUGCUAUUUCCUGUACUACUACUUGCUAGAAAUGUUGGAUUUUUUUCCAUCAAAAAGCCAAAGAGAUCCAGAGAAGCUGAACAGUAGUAAUUCCUAAAGCAUAUGGUAAGACACAGAAAUGCACUGUCUUCCACCCUAUCCUGCUGUCACAGUCUCAUGACCUUGUAAACUGCAUCACCAAAAAGACCACAAUUGAAAAUAAGCUCUUUGGGAAAGAAAUGAGGUGGAUACACCCUUAGGCAAUUAGAGACACAUUAACUCUUAGCAGCGCAACAUGUGUGUCUGAAAGAGAUCAACGUUCUAACAGCAUCCCUGAUACAAUUUCACUACUUCUGGUCGCAUACAACCACAGUAAACUGUCCAUAUCUUAAUUUGGAGACCCCUAGUUUUAGAAAAAGUUCUUGAACUUCUCAUCUUUUGUAUCUAUCUAAAGUUAGGUAAAUAGGGAAGAGUUACUGAUUUAAUUUUCUAAGUCACCUCACCCUCUCUUAAUAAAACCAGGGCAAAUUAGUGCAUUUUCAGGUGCAACAGAGCAAAGGUAAGCUACAAGGCUUCCUGACCCCACAGCAGGCAAGUGCAGAGAGGCUUUGGCCAUGCACAUACUUCAGGGAGCAUGGGCAAGGGAUACUGUGACUGCUUCAUCACCCUCUUCCCUCACUGCCUUGAGCCACAGAGUCCUGGUCAAGCUCUUGUAUCCUCCAGGAAGUGAUCCAUAUCAAAAUGAUGGAAAACCUUCUAUUAUUUCUCAUGGAUCAGCAGUGAUUUCACUACUGCUGUUGGCCACAAUUGCCUUCAGGCUCUGCUGUACCAUGUGAAACACUGAGAACCUCACUCUUCCCGCAGCAGUGGCUCAGGAUUUAGUAGCCAAGAUGAAGGUCUAUGUCUGGAGCAGAAUAUGCUGACUUCUUAAUUCUCACUGAAAUGAGCAUAUUGAUAGGAAAUUAAGAGACUGAAUACUUGACUGAAUGUUAACUCAAGAGGGUGUUUCUAUAUUUGAUCUGCAAGUUUAAAAUGGCAACAAGGACGUGUUUCCCACAGCUGCAAUUCAUCAACACAAAACAGCUGUCAUCUCAUGCAAGCAAAUCAGAAGUUUCUAUGGUGAAAGAGAAAUGCAAUUAGUUUGCAUUACGUCCGGACUGCUAGAAGUAAAGCUUAACUUAAAUGACAUGUCAUUUGAAACUCUGGGUUUAGGAGAUCACCACAACAACCAAAGAUAGAAUCAGGAUGUAACCUAUUUUCUGAACCAUUUUCAGAGAUUCUUCGCAUACUCAAACAUACUCCAUAUACAAGACUGGAAAAUUAAAGAAAGACAUACAUAAAGAUUUAUUUUUUUUUCCUGAUUAAAAACAACACUUUUUCCAUGGUGUCAUCAGAAUCUCUAACUUAUAACCUGCUGAAGAUCUCUCUCUUUCUAAUCUUUCUAGAACUUGUUUUUUUUCCUCUGUGAGAGAGGCUACAAUGAAAGGCAACAGUUAGCAGCAGUUAGUACAAGUCUACACAACACACACAAUACACACGUGACACACACACAAUACAGCCCACAGGGCCAAAUUCUACCUUUGUCAUCCAUGAAAAGUUCCAAAGGGAUCCAGGAGAGAACCCACCUCCAUAAUGUUUUAAUGUUACAACUAAUUAUUAUAAAGAUUUUCUGGAAGUUAUUCAUAAUUAAUGUUUGUCCAGGUAAACAAUUAAAUUAACUCAUCUUCAAUGUAUUCAAGAAGUAUAUUCUAUCUUGUAGCAGAGGGCAUACUGAUAACAAAUACGUCCAAUAGAGGGUCCAAUAGAGUGAAGAUUCCAUUUUUUUUCAGCCUUCUUUCAAAUGUUUUUCUAUUUUUUUUCUUUUCUUUUUUUCCCUUUUCCUCCUAUGCUGUCUUAACUUGGCUCAAGUGAAAAAAACACACCCCCAUUUCUUAGAGUGAAAGAAACGAGACAGAAUUCAGAAGCCGUCUCCAUUCCAUUGCUGGUCUCGCCACUCAAACUGUUGUCAAGUCUACCAAUUAAACUGGUAUUUCAUGCUGUUUAGCCCCAUUGCCUAUAAACAUCUGGUUGAUGUUCCAUUCACAUAAAUUCCAGCUAACUACUUGCAGAUGAAGAAACAUUUCUCUAUCCAAGGAAAAUUUUUAGAAAGCUCAGUAGAAUCUACUGCCAACCACAUUGUGUUUUUUCAGAUUGUGGAAAUCUUGCCUGUUUUGUUUUAUUUUAAAAGUUAACAAUAACGUUUAUAAUAAGUAAUGACAUUAUAAUUAUGCAGAGCAUGACAACAAUGAGCGUUCACACCCAAAUACGCAGUUUAUCUCUUCAGCCUUAAGGACCUGGGUCCAAAUCUGCCAGCACACCUUAACACAUGCUACAGCACAGGCACAUGCUCUAUCACGUUCAGGUUUGUACGUGAAUGGAACUCAGAUCUCCAUGCAAAAUGCAUGCAUUCGUUCAAGAAGAAGAGCCAAUAUCCAACUAACAUGCAAAAAUUAAUUUUCCACAUACACAAAGGCAGACAUAAGACACAGCAUGCUAAGUUUUGACGUGUAAAUUUUAACGAGGUUUCAGUCACCAAGCAAAUCUUCAACACAACAGUUCCACAUUCUAUUAGCAAAUAAAUAUAAUUCAGUAAAAUAUUUGAAGGUAUUCCAAGGGUAUCGUCUUCAAUGAAAAGGAUGAACUUUUUAUUUUGUCUUUUUUCCCAUUUAUUCCAACAUAAUGAUUAGAUAAUUGUUAUAAACCAAAACAAUUUAGCAAUUACUCAAGAUAUUUAAAAUUUAAAUCCAAAUUACACAAACCUGUAUUUUGUAACAAGUGCUGAUAACGGGACACUAAAUAAAUAUGGAAAGUUUUUCUUAAUUAGUCUUUAUCAAGCCAUUAUUUUUCAAAUAGCAUGGCUGUUUAAAGCCACUGCCAAGAAGCUCAGGUGUAUUUCACAUUCCAGUGUGCUACUAACAGGAAGUGGGGGGAAGAAAAUGGGAGGUAACACAGUCACUUACAUAACAAAAAACCCUAACUGAAAGAAAUAAAAUAGUUUUUGCCCGAAUAUUCAUUGCACUGAC